rnacentral:rRNA from 1 species
GAGAGACUCUACGGCCACAUUGGGACUGAGAUACGGCCCAGACUCCUACGGGAGGCAGCAGUCGGGAAUAUUGCGCAAUGGAGGAAACUCUGACGCAGUGACGCCGCGUGCAGGAAGAAGGUUUUCGGAUUGUAAACUGCUUCGACAGGGAAGAAAAAGACAGUACCCGUAGAAUAAGCUCCGGCUAACUACGUGCCAGCAGCCGC